CUUGAGACACUAGCAUUUUCAAUGCUCUUCUUAUUUGAUGUUAGACUGGAUGUGUUUCGUUUCAGUUUUUAUUUUCAGUAUUUUUUUUCUAAGAAAAAUAGAGUUACAUUAUUUUCCAAAUUAAUCAGAUAUGCAGUAGUGAGUGGAGCAAACAAAGGAAUUGGAACAGAAAUAGUAAGGCAAUUAGCUUCAAAUGGAGUGAAGGUUGUGUUGACUUCAAGAGAUGAGAAGAGAGACCUUCAUGCUUUGGAAACUCUCAAAGAUCUCUCUCAUCUUGUCCUCUUUCACCAGCUUGUUGUUGCUGAUCCUGCUACUGUGGAUUCUCUUGCAAAUUUCAUCAAAUCCGAAUUUGGAAAACCCCACAUUUUGAUCAACAAUGCAGGGAUUGGUGGACUUGUGAUUAAGGACAAUGAUUUGGUCCCUCAAGUGUUAUUGAAAAGCAGGGAAUUAUCAGAUGAUGUAAUAGAGAAAGCCGGAAUCGUUCAAACAUUCGAGCUAGCUGAAGAAUGCUUGCAAAUAAAAUAUUAUGGUGCUAAAAGAAUAUCUGAAGCCCUUCUCCCUCUUCUCCAAUUAUCUGAAUCACCAAGAAUUAUGAAUGUAUCAUCCUCCCUAGGAAAGUUAAAGCUAGUUGAAUCGUUGAGACGAAAUUAUCUGGAAAUGAAUAAUUUUCAAGAUCAUCUGCAAACAUCUUCAGCUCGGGACAAUGAUAAACAUCCAUCUCUUUUAACUCAGGCCAAUCUAGAAUUUGCAUCCCUGACCAAAUGCACCUUAGAGCUGGCGAUUCCCAAAGAGUCAAGCAGCAUUAAGAUCAUGGUGGAAGACCGAAUCAUCACUCGAGUUAUUGGAGGAAGGCUAUAGUACUAGUGUUAUCAAUUUUGGACAUUCGACACAGCUGCUUUGACAAGUAUACUAUUCUAACCCAUUGAUGGAUUGCAACACACAUAAUUUGAAGAGCUCUAAAUGCAAGAGGUCUUGAUAAAUGCAAGGUUGACAAGCUUGGACUGUGCCAAGACCAGCAUGUCGUCAAAGUUGAUAGCUGGUGACACCGACUUCUUUGCCAACUUGGUAUGUUUGAAGUUAAAUACCCAAUCAAGGGAAUCAAUAUAUUGAAGCCUCAUGGAAAAAGUGCUAGAGACAGCUUUCUGAUAUAUAUAUUUGAGUUCUGCUAACUGAAAGGAAAGAGCUUCUCAAGACCCAGUUGGUGGGAAAGUCCGGUGUUACCCCCAAUGUUGCAACCUCUUUCAUUGAGACACUUGAAGCCAAUGAGCUUCUCAAGAUUAAAAUACAUAGGAGUUGCCCUGGUGAGUUGGAAGAUGUGGUGAAGCAGCUGGAACAAGCAACCGGUUCAGUGGCAGUUGGUCUUGGUAGGUCAGAUGUAUUAUAGUGGUUAUGGUGUUCCCAGAGAUGACCAGAAGGUGUGUUCUUUCUUUUAUUUUGGUUAUGGUUAUUAGUUAUUACAAAUUAAUAAUGCUUUUCAAUCAAUUUUCAUUGCAUUGGACUUUCUUGAGCUUGUUAAGAGUUUGAGGUUCUGUUGUAUUAUACUAUUUGAGAAUGUUCAUGUUAAUUGACAAUAGAAUCUUCAGGUGGUGACUAUGAAAAAUUGAAGAAAAAUAUUAGCAUUCUCUAUUGGUCUUAAUUUUAGUAAUGAGAUCAAUUUUGAUGCUGAUAAUGCAUAUACACUAUUAGGCAAUUAAAUCUUGUUUGUUAUAUAACUUUUAAGAUAGUGGGGAUAAGACUUAAGAGUCAAAUAAUUUCAAUGACCGAGUUAUAUAUGAAUAGAUGACUGUCUAUUUAGUUAGGUAUGCACAAUUAGAUGCACUUAAAUGGAUGCUUCAUGUGGAGUUGUGGACAAAUCUAUAAUAGUAGCAUAGAAUGCUUUAUCAUGGAUGCAAAUCUAAUAUCCAUGCUAAUAACAAUGCCAGAUUUUUCUGUUGAAGACGACUUCACAG